rnacentral:rRNA from 1 species
GAAAAGAAAUCAACCGAGAUUCCCUAAGUAGCGGCGAGCGAACGGGGACCAGCCGAAUCAGUGUGUGUUAGUGGAAGCUUCUGGAAAGUUGCACAAUAGAGGGUGAUAGUCCCGUACACGACAGCGCACAUUGGACAUAUUAAGUAGGUCGGAGCACGAGAAACUUUGACUGAAGAUAGGGGGACCAUCCUCUAAGGCUAAAUACUCCCAAUUGACCGAUAGUGAACCAGUACCGU